rnacentral:rRNA from 1 species
UACGGAGGGGGCUAGCGUUGUUCGGAAUUACUGGGCGUAAAGCGUGCGUAGGCGGCUUCUCAAGUCAGGGGUGAAAGCCCAGAGCUCAACUCUGGAAUUGCCUUUGAGACUGAGUGGCUUGAGUACGGGAGAGGUGAGUGGAAUUCCCAGUGUAGAGGUGAAAUUCGUAGAUAUUGGGAAGAACACCGGUGGCGAAGGCGGCUCACUGGCCCGUAACUGACGCUCAUGCACGACAGCGUGGGGAUCAAACAGG